rnacentral:rRNA from 1 species
AUACGGAGGGUGCAAGCGUUACUCGGAAUCACUGGGCGUAAAGCGCGCGCAGGCGGCUAUUUAAGUUGGAUGUGAAAGCCUAUGGCUCAACCAUAGAACUGCAUCCAAAACUAUUUAGCUAGAGUGUGGGAGAGGAAGAUGGAAUUAGUUGUGUAGGGGUAAAAUCCGUAGAGAUAACUAGGAAUACCAAAAGCGAAGGCAAUCUUCUGGAACACUUCUGACGCUGAGGCGCGAAAGCGUGGGGAGCAAACAGGAUUAGAUACCCUAGUAGUCC